ensembl:misc_RNA Y_RNA Y RNA
GGCUGGCCCAAGUGCAGUGCUGUUUACAGCUAAUUGAUUACAGCUAGUUACGGAUUUCUUCCUUUUCCAUUCCCACUGCUUCCCUUGAUUAGCCUUAA